rnacentral:lncRNA from 1 species
CUGGGAUGCGUAGUUCUCAAGGACCUCGAGGCUAGGCUUGGAGGUGGAACUCCGGGUUCUCUGAUGUCAUCGCCCGGAGCUGCGAGGCGCAAGGAUCUUUAAAAUGAAGCUUCGUUCGCUUGCAGAUAAAUUUGUUUGCAAACCGUCUCACAGUCGGUACGGAAGGCAUUAAUUCACAGACUGCAGUGUGAUUUGGAGAAAAGUGCUUUCUACCUCUGAGCACAAUUUUUCGCUCUUAACCACUUCUUUCUCCUUUAGAAAUGCACCUCCACCUCCUAAUUAGAAUGCUGUUAAUAGUAUAGGUGGCUACGCGAAACUUAAAGAAUUAGUCGAAAUUCUUUAAGGGCGGAUGUCUUCUCAAAUGUUUAUAACAUAUUUGUUGAGCACCUACCAUGUGCCAGGUACCGUUCUCAGGGAUCCUGCGGUAGGUAAGGGGAGCUAGUCCAGAAGCCAGCAAGAUCAUUAAAGAUUUUAAUGCGGUGAAGAGCCGGACAAACUGCAAAGGUAGUGUCAGAAAGGGUGGUCAGGGAAAAAUCUCUGAGGAAGUGAUAUUUGAGCCAAAAUCUGAAGAAUGAGAAUCUUUCAAAGAUACUAAGAGUUAGAGAAGAAUUACAUACUAUAAUUUUCUCGGUACAUAGCACACACUAGACUCUGAAUAAUUUUGUGUUUGUUUCUUCUCCGUGCACAACCUUAGAUCACAUUCUUCUCCCUCC